UACGUAGGGGGCAAGCGUUAUCCGGAAUUACUGGGUGUAAAGGGAGCGUAGACGGUAAUGUAAGUCUGGAGUGAAAGGCGGGGGCCCAACCCCCGGACUGCUCUGGAAACUAUGUUACUAGAGUGCAGGAGAGGUGAGCGGAAUUCCUAGUGUAGCGGUGAAAUGCGUAGAUAUUAGGAGGAACACCAGUGGCGAAGGCGGCUUACUGGACUGUAACUGACGUUGAGGCUCGAAAGCGUGGGGAGCAAACAGG
rnacentral:rRNA from 1 species